rnacentral:rRNA from 1 species
GAUGAACGCUAGCGGCAGGCCUAAUACAUGCAAGUCGAACGGUGUCUUCGGACAUAGUGGCGCACGGGUGCGUAACACGUAUGCAACCUACCUUACAUUGGGGGAUAGCCUUUCGAAAGGGAGAUUAAUACCGCAUAAGACAGUAGCUGGGCAUCCAGCAGCUGUUAAAGAUUUAUCGAUGUAAGCUGGGCAUGCGUCCAAUUAGCUAGUUGGUGAGGUAACGGCUCACCAAGGCAAUGAUUGGUAGGGGAACUGAGAGGUCAAUCCCCCACACUGCCACUGAGAUACGGGCCAGACUCCUACGGGAGGAAGCAGUAGGGAAUAUUGGGCAAUGGACGCAAGUCUGACCCAGCCAUGCCGCGUGAAGGAUGAAGGCGUUAUGCGUUGUAAACUGCUUUUAUACAGGAAGAAACGACUCUUGCGAGAGGCAUUGACGGUACUGUAUGAAUAAGCACCGGCUAACUCCGUGCCAGCCGCCGCCGUAAAAC